ensembl:lncRNA
GCUGGAUUUUCCUUUCUGUAUACUUUUCUCCUUCAACAGUUGAAUAGAGCUGUUUUCUUUAUACAGAGCAAUACAGCUCUCAGCUAUAUGCAAGAAAAUAUAGAAGCUGAAAAAAAGAUAAGCAAAUAUAUUCCCUCCAAAGAGAGUAUCUGCUUUAUAUAAAUAAAAUCUUUUUAAUUUUUUUUUUUUCAAUAAUAUGUGAUUGAAACCUGUGGUAGUUCCAGCUUAUGCUGGCCAGCUGUGGGGCUGGGGUAUAAAACUGGAGUCAGUUCCUACUUCCUUUAUUCACACAGAUAUUUCCUUUGACAUUAGACAUGCAUGAAGUCAGUUUGCCUAGAGUUGCUCAUGGCCACGUGGGGUUGAAUGAACCAAUGUGUUUCCAUGUCUACUUACGCAGGUAUUUAUUAGAACAUGUACCCAGGGGUAGCAAAAGCAUGGAGAUGAAUUUUGCUGAUCUUUGGAAUCCCCUGCAACAGACUUCUGUAGCACGGCCCACCAUGUCCAAAGCCCGGGCCAAGGAACAGUAAAGAGAAUGUCCAGCCCCAUGAUCAGAGCUCAGUAAAUCCAUUGUAUUGGCAUAGCAGGGAAUUAAAGUAAGCAGGACUAGCAGACCUAAAGUGAGAUACAAGGCUAGAAAAGCCUCUUUGUUCAUAUGAGGUGUUCUCUGCAGUACAGCUAGAGUAGAUCCUUUGUCAUAUUUCUGUAUAUGUAUCUUUUUUCCCUCUAUGUAAAUAGCAUGCAGUAAAACUUGCAUUAACAAUGCUUAAUGACUCUCUAAUGUACCAACCAUGAUACACAUCCAUUUGCAAAAUUAUAAUUUCCACACAUUGUUGGUAAAUAUUACUGACAGUAGAUUGGGACAACCAUAUUUUAAUCCCAAAGCCUGUUGUGGUGGCCAGACCAAUACUCUUGCCUGUAUGGGAAGUGUUGAAUCAUGGCCUGAACCUCUGAUUGACCACCUGAGGCGAGCGCUGAGUCAGCCACAGGGGCACAGGUGAAUGCAAUUUCACCUGAGUGACUGGAAGGGGUGGAACCUGGCUCCACCCCUCCUAGACCCCAUUUAAGGGCUGACUCCCGAGGAGGGAAGAUAUCUAUCUGGAGAUCACUCCCUUUGGAGCUCUUCUGUGAGCCCAGGAUAUGGGAGAAAUUCCUUUAGUCCAUUUCCAACCCAUAAAGAAAAAUGAAAAAUCCUCUACAGGAAAACACCAAUUUGUGUAGUGCACUGAAGAUGGCACUGUAGUAACAACUUCACCCUGUGAAUGAUAAGACAUCCUUAGCUCGUGUUCCUCGGUGGGAAGGAUGACAGUCACACGGGGCAUGGGGAGAAGUGUUAUGUGAGGCAUUUCUAGUGGAGACAGAAAGAAAUAGACACAAAAACGUGUGGCUGUGAAAGCGAUUCUGGCUGCGUUGCAUGCUGGCACUAAAGUGGAAACCAGCGUGGGCACCAUCUUCAGGCCCUGGAUGAAAGCUGAGCUGCUAAACACCAGCUCUGCAGCAUCACCCAAGGGUGCUCCUUUCUGCACACAGAACUCCUCAGCUGCUUUCACUCUGAACCUUGCUUAUGUUUGCCUUCUCUGCCUGCCCAAUUCUUCUGACAAGAACAACUGCAGUUCCCUCUACGGAGAAGGAUGGAACGCUGGUUUUUGCUCAGGUUUGAAUGAUAACCAGCAGCUAAUCAUCUCUGUUUGUGCCUACAUCCUUCUACCACAACCUCCAGCUACAUUAAAACAGAAUGUGGGGUGAUAGAGAGAGUCACAAGUGAUGCAAGUAGCUCAUGGUAAGCUAAGGGCAUAUUUGAGAGAUACUGAGGGAUGAACUGAAGCAAUUUGUUCUGGAGGUCCAGAGAUGGAUUUUUUUGUUAGAGGUGACUUUGGGAUCAUAGGAUUGCUUAGGUGCUUGUAAAGCACUUAGCAAGCAAAUCAAUGAGUUAUGUGAAACAGGCUGAGCUGCUACAAAAAAUGUGUACUCUAACUUAUAUACUCAGGUAAACUUUUGGAGAUCUCUGUGAUGCAUUGGUCAUUAAUAGUUAAUGUAUCACGUAUUAAAUAUUUCAUUCUGUAUAGUUCUUUAAUGGAAAAGUGAUGGAUUGUGUUGUCUACAAGAAUCCAUUUAUAAAGAUCUGGUCGAUUUCUCCUUUUGAAAAAUAUUUAUAUCCAAUUUGCAGGAGGUAAAAUGUAUUAUGAAGAGAUUGGUUGUGCAGAUGUGUUGCCUUCUAAACUAAAGAAAGACAGGUCAGUAUCAGCAAGCAGUAUUUGUACAGCAAAAGGGCAGUCGUGAAACUAGUGAAACUACCACCUCCAUCUUCAUCAUCUCCAUGAUCACUCUGAGUUUGAGCCACUGCUUCUACCUCUCAUGGCUGAUGAAGCAGUGAUUACAUGAGGACUUGCAUUAGCAUAGGCUGUAGUGCAAGGAAGAUUCAGAAACUACACAGUGUCCUUGUUCGUGCUGAGCAGUGCAGCCACAUCUCCGCACCUUUGGGACUUAAAGCCUCUGCUACUAUAGUGCUUGUGUCCUUAAGACUGGAGCCACUGAAGCAGACCAAGACAGAAGACAGGAGAGAAGAAACACUAUUAGAAAGUAGUGUUGUGCAAUCAUUCUCCUUUUUUUUUUUUGUGUAGUGAUGUCACUUGAAAACUGUGUCACAGUCUCUCCUGUUUUUGUCAUCUCAUGUGGCCACCACCUCCCUUUGUCCCAUGCACAAAUCCUGGUAUGUAUUAAAAGCGCUCUCUCUUAGUUUGUUUCUCAAGCCUCCCACUAUGUGACAGACCAUGAACACUUUCCUUUUCCUCUUCCAGUAGUUUAUGCUCUAAAUCCAGCAGAGAGCUUUCUUAGGUCUUUAAUAGCAAGCUUAAGGUUAAGCAUUUGUUUAAGCACGCUGCUAAACUGUGUUCUGCUGAAUCUCAGCCAAAAGAAAACAGAUGGGCUAAUUUACCCUGAUGUUCUUCUGUGAGCCUUCAGGAGAGCUGUAAGAGCAGCAGCAUUGAAAGGUGUGCUCCAGAGCAAGUGAGAAGCAUAGCUAAGCAAUUCCAGGCCAGGAGGUGGCUUUGAUUUCCCUAGCAGGCUACAGAUUUGGGGAUCAUACUUGCCCUUGUUACUGCUCCCGUUCCAAGGAAGAAUGCCACCCUCUGUGCAAGGAAGUGCCAUCCAACCUGUGAGGCUCCCUUUUAUCUACAAGGUCAAGGAACAGCAGUCUUUGCUGUUUGUCACCAAGAAACAGCUGUGGCUGGACUGCACUCAGUGAGUAGGACUUUUCUUUCUGAUGCAUCAUCCCAUCUCUGCUGUAGCAUGUUUGAAAUAGAAUUGUGCUCCUCUUCCAACAGCACUUCUGAUGAUUUGGAAGGAGCGCAAACUGUUGAUGUAUCCUUAAAAGCUGUUCCCUUUUACUAGUUGCCUGGGGCAGGUGUGCCUACUCCUUGCUGUCCAUUUGCAUCUGUGACUUGCAGGAAGCUCACCCUCCAUGAAACCCACAGCUCCCUGCCAGUGAGCUGGAAGUGUUCUCAGUCUUGUCUUACCUCUGAGCGUGAAAGAGACAAAAUGCAGUGCUGGACCUGCUGCUCUACGACUCUGUGGAAUGGAUUGGUGGCAUCAGGAUUGGAGGCUGCUUGGGCUCUACUGACCACGCAAUGCUGGAGUUCAUGCUCUUGAGGGACACUGAUUGGCAAAGAUCAAAAAUCAGGAAGCUUAAUUUUAAGAAAAACAAAUUGCAGCUCUUCAGGGAGUCUGUCCUCAAGGACAAGGGAGUGGAGCAGAUCUGACAGGCCUUUAAGGAAGCUUUCUUCAGGGCACAAGAGUUCUCCAUCUCCUGGUGGAGGAAGUCAGGAAAAGAAGGCAAGAGACAGGCGUGUCUGAACUGGGACCUGCUGGUCAAACUGGAGAGCAAGAAUAAAAUGCACAGGCAGUGGAAGGAGGGACAGGCAUAUGCAGAUGUGGAAACACUAAAAAGACUGAAGAAUAAAGCAAUUGGAGGUUGGAGGCUGUGCUUCAGACUUGCUCUACUCUGCAGGCUACAGUAUGAUUUCACAGGAAAAAGGUUCACUAUGCUCUUGCAUUUAAGUAGCAGCACAGAAUACCCAGUAUUUAGUCCUUAGAAUGAAUUGCUGCACCCUCUGCUACAGCCCUGUCCAAGGGUACUGAGCAAAGGCAAUGCCACAUCUAAAUUCUACUCUCUUUACACAGCUUCAGCACUAUGUCACACAUGCUGUUACUGUUUGGGAAACUCUUCAUCACAAAAAUGUUUCACUAUAACCCAAAAGUGGACUAAUGCUGUCACUGGUAAAACCACUUUUACUGGUCUAAAGAAACAGAUACAUGGUGUUAAAGCUAAAGAUUCAAUGUAAGAGUAACAGAAUAUGGGUUGUAUCCUUGAAUAUUUUUUGUACUUCUGACAACUCAAAAACCAAGCAAUAAGAUAUUUUAGCAGAACAGGAGAAACCUCUGAAGAAUUCAAGAUGUUUCAAAAAAUAUGCUGUAAUCCUAAAAAGUAAAUAAAUAAUCAAAAUACACAAAAUCAACUGCUGCCUUUGAUCUACAGUUGAAUAGUUUUUUCAUAAUCCUGGAUUCAGUUGCACCUGUUCUACCUCAGAACACAGAAGGCAACUAGAAGAUGUGGAUAUCAGUUCUCACUUAAAUGGACAGGUCUGCAUGCCAACUCUGGUAGGUCUCGUCCCUAGUGCCAUUGCUGCAGCGGGUCUCAGUCUGCAGCCACCACUGGGCAGCUCCAUCCCUGGGCACUCUCUCUGCACUGUGCAGGCUGUGAGCUGCCGCUGUGGGGAUGGAGCUGUGCAAACAGCAGGAGGAGUCAUUUUCUCUCUUAGCCACUGAUUAAAGCAUAGGGAUGAGGUGGGACUGGCACCACUGAUACCAGGUUUUUGUGCUGAGCAGGGAUUUCUGUGACACUGAAUUACCUGCGUGCUCUAAGACUCCCUAGUUCCAGAUUUGCAUACACGCAAAACAAACUAAUUUGUUACAGUAAAAAUAAACGCAAGCUCUGCAGUCCUCUUAUCUCGCCUAGUAGAUGACAUGGCAUUUGGGUGCUGCAGUAUCUAGGCUGAUAACAG